rnacentral:lncRNA from 1 species
AAAAAAAAUUAACAUUUAAAAGAUUUAAUUAUAUUAUGCUACACUGUACUUUAUUUUUUUUUUUUUCACUUUCUACACUAUACUAAUUUUUUUUGGAUAAAAUAUAAAAAAUCCUCAUAUAAAUAUUUUUUUUUUUACUUUUCUAAUUUUUAAAAACUUGUAUUUUAUUUUCUUAACAUUUCCGAAAGGUGAGGAUAUUCAUAAAGGACCACCAUAGGUCUAUAGUUUACUUUUUUUUUUUAAAUGGUAAACUUCGAUUUGUUUAUACUGUUCUAAAUCGUAAUCAUUUGACUUGUUCCAAGCCAUGCACCUCUAGAAGAAAGUCUAUAUUGUGGCCAAGGCUACUAUACUAUUAUGAGUAUUGGAGUCCUCGUACUCAUAAGUUGUUUUCAAUGAUGGAGCUUCCGAAUCGACGAUCCACUCCGUUAAAUAUGAUUUAGAGUAUUUGAAAUUUCUAGAAAAUAAAUUUCGUAAAUUUUUGAAAUUAUAAUAAAGUUCAUCAAGCGGGCAUAAAAUGAACGGUCAAAAUCGAACGACGUCCUAAAAAAGAAUGAUCGGAUCCUUCAAUUCAAGAUCGGAGUUAUUGAUCUUUAUCUAUGUAGUGAAUAGAAUUUUCUAUCAAAAAUUCAACAAAUUUCGAUUCUUUUACACCGUUAAACUAGCAAGUAUCCCAUACUGGCCGUUAAAAAUUGUCAAAUUUGUGACCUCUUGAUCGUAAGGUAAAUGAUAUCGAAAAAUUAUAAAAUUUGAUUUCUAGAAGUUUUAAAUGCUGUAAAUAACGUUUAACGGUGUGGAUCGUCGAUUUGGAAGCUCUAUCAUCGAAAACAACUUAUGAGUACGAGGGCGAUCGUACUUAUAAUAGUAUAGUAGCCGGACCCCUAUAUUGUAACAUUUAUACCUCAUUUUCUAUCCCAUGUCAAUCACACCUCUUUUUUUGAAAUUAAACUACGAUAAUUUUUUUUUUAUUUUAAUAACCAUGAUGUGAUGAGCGAAUCCAAGGAGAUAGAUCUGAUUGGUUGGUAAACUAUAUCAGUAAUAUAACUGAUGCAUUCUAGACUUUUUACACUUAAGCACAUCUUGUGUAGUAGUGGUAGUGCUACACAUACUCUACAGUAUACUCAACACCUAUAGAAUAGAAAAUAAUGAAACCUCAGUUAAAUGUACACGUGGCGUUAAGAGGGAGUCGGUAGUGGUGGGUGUGGGGUGGGGGUGGGGGUGCGGGUAGGGAUGGGGACGGUGCCAGUCCGGGUGAGGGUGGCGUUGGGGUAGGGGUGUAAAAUGAGCCGGGCAGCCCGCAAGUCGCCCAGCAAGACACGAUACUGGGUCGGACCAAGGCACGACACGAGUACUGUAGCAUCUGUGCCGGGCCGGACCAGUCCAGUCUAAUAAAUCAGGUCGUACUAAGCCGCCUUUUUGUGGCCCGGCCUAAUAAGAGCUUUGGGAGUUGGGAGCCAGGGCUGUAUGCCUUUAGCCUCUCGCAAGGCUUUUGGUCCCUUUUGGACCAAAAUACUCUCCCGUUUUGACUGUUGGGAGAGUAUUUUGGUCCAAAAAAUAUUAAAAAUUUUUAAAUGAUUUUAAAAUUUUAUUAUUUUUAUAAAUAUAUUUUAAAAUUUUUUAAAAAACUUUUCAUAUAUUAUUUUUAAAAAAUAGUAUUUUAAUUUUUAAUUUUUUUUAAAUUUUUAUAUAUUUUUAAAUAAAAUUAAAUAAAUAAAAACGAUGGCCUGAAGUCUGACCCGGCCCGGCCCGGCCCGUACCUUCCGGCCCGGGGGGCCGUGCCAGGCUGGCUUCCAGCAUGUUUCAGUCCAGCUUAAUGUAGAAGUAUUGCAUCGCCUCUACGUUAAUAUUUUGUCAAUAUUUAGCCAAUAAAAUUGAGUUGUGGUACUUGAUUGUAAUAAUUUAGAACAAAUCAAAGUUUGAGGACUGAAGUGUUAAACGCCUCAUAGUUGGAGGAUCAAAUGUGUUAUUUACCCUUUCAGAUUUUAACAAAGGCUUUUAAACUUCCUCAGGUUGAAUAGUUACUAAUAAUAGUUAUACAGAAUUAAUUAAGGUGAUCAAAUUGAAGGUUUUAAGGGCCAAGAUUAAUUAACUUUGCAUCUCAAGUUAACUAAAGGGACCACCCAUCUUAUUUUCUUUUUAUUUUUAUUUUUGGUUUUCUUUCUCUUAAGCACGGCUUAAACUAUUCAGAAUUUAAACAGUUUUUAUAAAAUUACGUAAUAAUUAAUUACUGAAUAAAUAAUUAAAUACAUACUAUGCAAAACUUAUGUUAAAAAUAAAGUUAAAAAGUAAAAAAAAAAAAAAAAAGGUUAAAAUCUAGACAGGCUCAUAGCUCGGCACAGCAUGAUGCUAAUCUCAGAUUUAAAAGAUUUAAUUACAUUAUGAUACGCUGUAUCUUAUAAUUUUUUUUUUUUUUUCACUUUCUACACUAUAGUAAUUUUUUUAGCUAAAAUAUAAAAAAAUUCUCAUAUAAAUAUCUAUUUUUUUUAUUUUUUUAAAAUUUUUAAAAAUUUAUAUCUUACCUUUUUAAAAUUUCGGAAAGAUAAAUAAAGAUAUGCAUAAAGGACCACUAUAGGUCUUUAGUUUUUUUUUUUUUUUCAAUUUUAAACUUCAAUUUGUCUAUACUUGUUCUUAGUCCUAAUCAAUUGACUUGUUCCAAGUCAUGCCCUUCUAGAAGCGCCUCUUGUGUAGUAGUAGUGGUAGUGCUGCACGUACUCCAUUAAGUACCCCAACAUGACCUCCUGCGGAGGAGGAUUGGCGAGGGAUUAUCCGUAAAAAAUAAAGUAAAAUCGACGGAUGGCAAGCGAAACUAUUGUUAAGGGGGGGCAGACUCAUACUAGUGAACGUUAUACUUACCAACCUUCCCAUUUACUUCCUCUCGGUAUUUAAGACACCUACAUGGGCCAUUAAAUAUAUUGAGGCACUGCGGAAAGACUUCUUUUGGAAUGGGGCACACAACUCACCAGAUAAGAGUUGUCUAAUAUCUUGGAAAAGCGUUUGAUAAAUCUCAAUACCAAACUAAGUCUAAGUCUACAAUCCGAAAGAGUCGUAACCUCUCCGUCCUUUAUUUUUGUUGAACAUUUUAUUAAAUUGAAUCACUCAAUUAGCUAUUAGCGAUCAAUUAUUUUAAUUUUAUUUGCUAAAAAGUAAUUAAAAUUAUUAUCAAAUUUAAUAAAUUUAUUGCUGAAUUUGAUAAAAUACUUAAUUUAUUUGACUAAAACCACUUGAUUCAAACAAAAAAGAAAAUUUAGGGGUAUGGGCCCAGUCGAGUGCAGGUGGCGGUGGGUAUGGGCCCAGCCCUUUCUUAAUUUUUUUAUUUUAUUAUUUUUCUCCCUUCACUGAUUUGGACUUAGAGAAUCAAGCUCACUUAAAUAAAAUAUAAAUUUUAAUUUUAUAAUAUUGGUCACUUAGAUAUGAAUUGUACAAUAAAAAUAAAAAAGAGAUUGACAAAAUUUCAGCUACUUAAUUAUUUUAAUAAAUUUAGUUGCUAGAAUUAUAUGUAGUCAAAAUAUUAUUGACUGAUUCAAAUUUAAUAUAUAAAAAGGUUGGAUAGUAAAAAUAAAAUUUUGAAAGGUUAGACAGCUAAUUCAAGAUGGUUCAUAUUUCAGAAAAUUCUAUAUGUUUUUAUUUUUAUUUUAAUAGCAAACUUCAAUGGCAUAUUUAUCGUCUGAUGAGCGAUUAAUUUUAUAUUUAAAAUCUUUUGAAAUAUCCAAAAUAUAAUUAGUCGAUUUUUAAUUUUAACAAUUAGGCAUUCUAAAUUAUUAGAUAGUUUAACAUAUUCGUUCCUCAAAUGAAAUUACUAAUUAAACAAAAGCGAUCGAUGCCCAACUCUGUAUUCGUCUGGAAUUAAAUUAAAAUAUAAAAAAGAUAAAUUAUGCUUUUGGUCCUUAAACUAUAAGACGGAUGACAUUUUAGCUCUCGAAUUUUAAUAGAUUACAUUUUCUUACUCAAACUAUAAGGCAAGUGGCGCUUUAAUCCUCAAACUUUAAUUAGUUAUAAUUUCUAUUU